rnacentral:rRNA from 1 species
GCGCAGCAGUCGCGAAACUUUACAAUGUGCGAAAGCACGAUAAGGGAACUCUGAGUGCCUCCUAAGGAGGCUGUUCAGGUGUCUAAAAGCACCUGAAGGAAGGGCUGGGUAAGACCGGUGCCAGCCGCCGCGGUAACACCGGCAGCCCAAGUGGUAGCCACGUUUAUUGGGUCUAAAGCGUCCGUAGCCGGCUGGGUAAGUUCCUUGGGAAAUUUGGCUGCUUAACAGUCAAGCUUUCAGGGAAUACUGCCCGGCUUGGGACCGGGAGAGGUCAGAGGUACUCCAGGGGUAGGGGUGAAAUCCAUUAAUCCUUGGGGGACCACCGGUAGCGAAGGCGUCUGACCAGACCGGGUCCGACGGUGAGGGACGAAGGCUAGGGGGCGCGAACCGGAUUAGAUACCCGGGUAGU